rnacentral:lncRNA from 1 species
CCCCAUAUGCUGAUGACCAAGGUUUUCAUCCGAUGCAAAAUUCGAUGCACGCCCGGAAGACCCGCCUCUGCGGUACCAUGACCUUCACUCCUUGAAUCCAUAGCCCUUCUUGUCAUCGUGUUGUUCACCGAAGUGGAGCUCCCAAUAGCUCCCGAUCAUACCUCCAUAUGAUCUAAUCCCUCACGGGACUAUGUCGUGUGUAUCGCAUUGCCACGAACUGUUCCACCACGAUCCACUGUACCAUGUCGCCUCCUGGUGACAUCUCCAUUGCAUUCUGAUCCUUGUGGAAUAAACUCGAAUUGUGAACCCUCCAUGUGUGGCCUCUGCCAAUACAUCGCAGG